rfam:Scleropages formosus scaffold1306, whole genome shotgun sequence.
AGUUCCAGUUAGCUUUGCAGGGUGGGCAGUCAGCUUAUGGACAUCAGAGCCGCUGUGCAAACCCAUGCAAAACUGACUGUGGCU